CCUACGGGGGGCAGCAGUGGGGAAUAUUGGACAAUGGGGGGAACCCUGAUCCAGCCAUGCCGCGUGUGUGAAGAAGGCCCUCGGGUUGUAAAGCACUUUCAGUGAGGAAGAACGCCUGGUGGUUAAUACCCAUCAGGAAAGACAUCACUCACAGAAGAAGCACCGGCUAACUCCGUGCCAGCAGCCGCGGUAAUACGGAGGGUGCGAGCGUUAAUCGGAAUUACUGGGCGUAAAGCGCGCGUAGGUGGCUUGAUAAGCCGGUUGUGAAAGCCCGGGGCUCAACCUGGGAACGGCAUCCGGAACUGUCAAGCUAGAGUGCAGGAGAGGAAGGUAGAAUUCCCGGUGUAGCGGUGAAAUGCGUAGAGAUCGGGAGGAAUACCAGUGGCGAAGGCGGCCUUCUGGACUGACACUGACACUGAGGUGCGAAAGCGUGGGUAGCAAACAGGAUUAGAUACCCUUGUAGUC
rnacentral:rRNA from 1 species